AGAUUGAACGCUGGCGGCAGGCCUAACACAUGCAAGUCGAGCGGUAGAGAGGUGCUUGCAUCUCUUGAGAGCGGCGGACGGGUGAGUAAUGCCUAGGAAUCUGCCUAGUGGUGGGGGAUAACGUUCGGAAACGGACGCUAAUACCGCAUACGUCCUACGGGAGAAAGCGGGGGACCUUCGGGCCUCGCGCCAUUAGAUGAGCCUAGGUCGGAUUAGCUAGUUGGUGAGGUAAUGGCUCACCAAGGCGACGAUCCGGUAACUGGUCUGAGAGGAUGAUCAGUCACACUGGAACUGAGACACGGUCCAGACUCCGUACGGGAGCAGCAGUGGGAAUAGUUGGACAAGUGGGACAAAGCCUGAUCCAGCAAUCGCCGCGUGAGUGAUGGAAGGUCCUUAGGGUUGAAACGUCUUCCGUUUACCGGAUGAUAAUGAC
rnacentral:rRNA from 1 species